AGUGUCUCCAGCUUACCAGGACCACGUUAUGUGCCUAAGGACAUCUAGCUAAGGGGCUCAUGCAAACCCCUAGACUCCCACCUCCACAGACUAUUUGUAUUAUAUGAAGGUUGGACCAGCCCCGAGAGGAAGCUGCAGUGUCUUUUAACAGAUCCAUCCAUCUCAGAGGUGUACCAUUGCAGUGGACACUGGAUGUUCCUGCUCAGCAGACACUGGGAAACGCCAGCUGGAAGUCAGCCGCUGUCCAGUAAAUACAGGAACACCACCUGCAGCAGUCUCGCCCGGGCUGCAUCACAUCACGGGUGGUCACAUCUCGGGAGGUGUUCACGUGCGUUCCCACAAGGCCUGCGGAUCUCCAUCGCUGUAUGAUUCACUGGAUAUACUGUUUGUUGCUUUGGGCCUGAAGUUCCUCCAGGCCUCAUCUUUACACACCUGAAUCAAAUCCAGGGUUGGGUCGCAUGAGGCAGAUGGGGCACUGGCUUUUUAAUGAACUCUUGAAUGUAGCCUUGGAUGUCUUCAAGAGACACAAACCACUACUAAGAAGUGUGACAGUGAUGUGGAGGCCCCAGCCCCUUAUUUAUGGUCCCGAACAUCUACUAGACAUCACACACUCAUCUGGGACAAGAAACUAUCCUGGCUAGAAUACUCUUUAAUAGCACCACAUAUUUUAUAGGGAACAAACUCUAUAACUGACAUGGAUAAAUGUGUGCCUGUGGUUAUUGCUUUUUGUUUUGGAUGAGGAGUAAGUAGAAUUAUCAGCUACAUAACAUGGAUUUAAAAAAAAAAUAAGUUUCUUUGGUGGUAAAAAUGGGAGAUACGAAUUCUGUGGUUUUCUCAUCUCUCCGGGUUUAUUGGGCACCUAUUACAUGCAAGCUAGUCUUAGAUGCUCCAGAAACAUUAGGGAGGAAGAUAGGCCAAAUACCGCCUUUCUUAAGAUCAGUUUCUAUGGGGGAGAACAAUAACGAAGCAAAGAAUACAAAGAAGACACCAGCUACGAUGUCCUUGAUCUCUGGUACUCAGAAAUGCAUUCUGAGGAGCAUUCUAGAUCAGCAGUUCUCAACCUGUGGGUCAUGACUCCUGGGGGAGGGGGUGUCAAGCUGUACCUUCACAGGGGUUGCAUACCAGAUAUCUUGUGUAUCCGAUAUUUACAUUAUGAUUCAUAACACUAGCAAAAUUACAGUUAUGAAGUAACAGUAAAAAUAACUAUGGAUGGGGGCCAUCACAACGUGGAGUUAGGAUGAGAAUCACUGCUCUAGAUGGAUGGGUGGAAGUAUGCCCUCUGCAAAGAGGUCAUAAACACUCACCCCAAGUGACAGAACACUUCAAGGAAGCAAAGCCAUGCAAAUGUCUCCCAGUGCAGGGAGAGAUGUGGCAUUUGUGUUGUCUUUCGGCUUAUUUUCCUAUGUCUCUUUCUGGGUCCCUGUGACAAGAAGAAAUGUCUACUUUGUUUACCAACAUAUGCACAGUGCCCACACACCGCGCCUGCUUGGCACACAGAUGCUCAAUGUCUGUUAAUGAAUAACAAAGGACCCUUGACCUAUCAUUUCUUUUUCCCCAAGGGCAGAGCAGGUCCUGCAGGUAUGGGCCCUGUGCCCAUCAUGUGGGACAAUGGAGAGAGGAGGAAGCUGGUUUCCUCCCAGAGCCUGGCAAUGGCAGGCUCAGGAAUCUAGGACGGCCUGACUGAGGCCACGCCUCUGCCCGAGGCCACGCCUCUGCCCGAGGCCACGCCUCUGCCAGCCCUUGUACAGCUUCACGUGGAGGCUGCUUAUUUUCUGAGCUGACAGGAAUCUGAGGCAGACUUGGUUGAAUUCACCUGCAAUCUUCUGAAAGUGUAACCAUGGUCUUAGCUACAAAGUAAGUUCUGGGUAAAAGGAACCUUCGGAUUGAGAGUUCAAAUGCCCCUAAAGCCAACACACAUGUGUAAGAAAGCCCUUGGCUGCCUCCUGCGGUACAGGAUGGGAAGAGCUAGCCGAUGUUCUGUUCUGGGGUAGCUGGAUCUUUAACUAAAUGACCACCAUCAUAACUGC
rnacentral:lncRNA from 1 species